rnacentral:rRNA from 1 species
UACGGAGGGGACUAGCGUUGUUCGGAAUUACUGGGCGUAAAGCGCACGUAGGCGGAUUUGUAAGUCAGGGGUGAAAUCCCGGGGCUCAACCUCGGAACUGCCUUUGAUACUGCAAAUCUCGAGUCCGGAAGAGGUGAGUGGAAUUCCUAGUGUAGAGGUGAAAUUCGUAGAUAUUAGGAAGAACACCAGUGGCGAAGGCGGCUCACUGGUCCGGUACUGACGCUGAGGUGCGAAAGCCAGGGGAGCAAAGCGGGAUUAAGAAACCCCAGU